GCAUACUUAUCCUCCUCUUGCUUUCGGAGAAAUUCCUCGUGCAUUUCCUGGGCUUCUCUCCUUAUCUCUCUUAGUUCUAUCAAAGCUUUGGACUCUUUGUCCUCUACACUGCGAUAAAUGUUUGGAACUGAGAAAGAGAUACCUUGUAUAUUUCCCUUCAACCAAUCUUUGUAGGUUUCAUCGUACCCAGCAUUGAAUCGGUCUGCGGCGAUGGUGUCCUUGUUCAUUCGCAUUGCUCUUUUCCAUUCUCUUAGCAUCUCUGAAGCAUCAGGCACUCUAUCAUCCCCAAUGUCGAACACAUAGAUACGGUAGUAUGCUUCUGGAGGUGUAGUCUGUCUUCUUCCGAACUGCCUCAGGACCCGGAUGGGCGCAUAUGGUCGGAUACCUCGAAUACCUGGUAGAGGAAGCAC
rnacentral:lncRNA from 1 species